ensembl:snoRNA
AUUAUUUUGUAGUUCAUAAGCGUGAUGACUGGGUGUUCAAAUGCAGGUGCAAGAUGUGCCACCCUCAAACCUUGUUACCACAUCAGCAUAUUACCCAUCAGACA